rfam:Drosophila persimilis strain MSH-3 cont1.001504, whole genome shotgun sequence.
CCUUCGAUAGCUCAGUUGGUAGAGCGGUGGACUGUAGAGCGAUUGACAGAAAAGUAGACAUCCAUAGGUCGCUGGUUCAAAUCCGGCUCGAAGGA